GUGCGUGUGUGUAACAGUAGUGUGUAACAGUAGUGCGUUUGUGUAACAGUAGUAGUGCGUGUGUGUAACAGUAGUGCGUGUGCGUGUGUGUAACAGUAGUGUGUAACAGUGGUUAGUGUGUACAGCAGUAGUGCGUGUGUGUAACAGUAGUGCGUGUGUGUGUAACAGUAGUGUGUAGCAGUAGUGUGUAACAGUAGUGUGUAGCAGUAGUGCUAGUGUGUAACAGUAGUGUGUAGCAGUAGUGCGUGUGUGUGUAACAGUAGUGUGUAGCAGUAGUGUGUAACAGUAGUGUGUAACAGUAGUGCGUGUGUGUGUAACAGUAGUGUGUAGCAGUAGUGUGUAACAGUAGUGUGUAGCAGUAGUGCGCGUGUGUAACAGUAGUGCGUUAGUGUGUAACAGUAGUGUGUAGCAGUAGUGCGUGUGUGUAACAGUAGUGUGUAGCAGUAGUGUGUAACAGUAGUGUGUAGCAGUAGUGCGUGUGUGUAACAGUAGUGUGU
ensembl:lncRNA